rnacentral:rRNA from 1 species
UACGGAGGGUGCAAGCGUUGCUCGGAAUUAUUGGGCGUAAAGGGUAGGUAGGUGGUCUCAUUUGUCUGAGGUGAAAGCCCAGGGCUUAACCUUGGAAGUGCCUCAGAAACGGUGAGACUGGAGUACUGGAGAGGGUCGUGGAAUUCCCGGUGUAGCGGUGAAAUGCGUAGAGAUGCGGAGGAACACCGAUGGCGAAGGCAGCCCCCUGGGCUAACACUGACGCUCAGGCACGAAAGCGUGGGGAGCAAACAGG